AGGGGAACCUCGAUUUUCCAAAUUCGGGAAGGCUGGCUGUCCUUCGACUACUGAUAAGGACGCGAGCGCAUGGUAAAAGAUUUUAACAAUGCCCGGAAAGAAAUAGCUGGACCCGAAAAAAAGACUAAUAAUAGCCACCAGCUAGAGCUCUGCUCGUGUGCUCAGCGCCCUUAAGAACAAUAAUGACGACAACAACCAUAAUAGCUACCAUUUAUUGAGCGCUUACUCUGUGCCAGGCACUGGGUUAAGCGCUUUGCAAGCAACAACCCUCGGAGCUCUGAGAGGUCUGGGUAUCGUUCCUACCUGAUGGGUGACUGUGUCAGGAAACUGGAAAAUGCUGGAUUAAACAAACGACAGUGACUGUCUGGCAACGGACCCACUGGAUAAUGCUUACCAGUUUUUCAGGUCAUUUUUGUUUUUUAAAUUGAAUCUUGGGAUCAAGUGAUUCACAAUAAUGAGGGGAAGAAAGAACUCUGGGCUUGUUGUAGCUGUCAGGAUCAUCCAAUUGGAAGGGACUUUCGCUCUUCACACCCCCAAAAAGACAAAAUGUUUAAGGUAAAUUGCCAGUUUUUGUUUAUCUGGAAAAUCCAUUACUACUGGAUG